UUGAACGCUGGCGGCAGGCCUAACACAUGCAAGUCGAGCGGAUGAAGGGAGCUUGCUCCUGGAUUCAGCGGCGGACGGGUGAGUAAUGCCUAGGAAUCUGCCUGGUAGUGGGGGAUAACGUCCGGAAACGGGCGCUAAUACCGCAUACGUCCUGAGGGAGAAAGUGGGGGAUCUUCGGACCUCACGCUAUCAGAUGAGCCUAGGUCGGAUUAGCUAGUUGGUGGGGUAAAGGCCUACCAAGGCGACGAUCCGUAACUGGUCUGAGAGGAUGAUCAGUCACACUGGAACUGAGACACGGUCCAGACUCCUACGGGAGGCAGCAGUGGGGAAUAUUGGACAAUGGGCGAAAGCCUGAUCCAGCCAUGCCGCGUGUGUGAAGAAGGUCUUCGGAUUGUAAAGCACUUUAAGUUGGGAGGAAGGGCAGUAAGUUAAUACCUUACUGUUUUGACGUUACCAACAGAAUAAGCACCGGCUAACUUCGUG
rnacentral:rRNA from 1 species